rnacentral:misc_RNA from 1 species
GAUGAAGAACGCAGCGAAAUGCGAUAAGGAGUGUGAAUUGCAGAAUUCAGUGAAUCAUCGAAUCUUUGAACGCACAUUGCGCCCUUUGGUAUUCCUUAGGGCAUGCCUGUUCGAGCGUCAUUUAAACCUUCAAGCUCAGCUUGGUGUUGGGUGACUGUCCGCUUCACCGCGGACUCGCCUCAAAAUUAUUGGCGGCCGGUACAUUGGCUUCGAGCGCAGCAGAAACGCGAACUCGGGCCCGUCGUAUUGGCUCCCAGAAGCUAUCUUCACAAUUUUGACCUCGGAUCAGGUAGGGAUACCCGCUGAACUUAAGCAUAUCAAUAAGCGGAGGA